AGGCUGCAACUCGCCUACAUGAAGUUGGAAUCGCUAGUAAUCGCGAAUCAGAAUGUCGCGGUGAAUACGUUCCCGGGUCUUGUACACACCGCCCGUCACACCACGAGAGUUUACAACACCCGAAGUCAGUGGCCUAACCGCGAGGAGGGAGCAGCCGAAGGCAGGUCGGAUGACUGGGGUGAAGUCGUAACAAGGUAUC
rnacentral:rRNA from 1 species